GGUUAAGCGACUAAGCGUACACGGUGGAUGCCCUGGCAGUCAGAGGCGAUGAAGGACGUGCUAAUCUGCGAUAAGCGCCGGUAAGGUGAUAUGAACCGUUAUAACCGGCGAUUUCCGAAUGGGGAAACCCAGUGUGACUCGUCACACUAUCAUUAACUGAAUCCAUAGGUUAAUGAGGCGAACCGGGGGAACUGAAACAUCUAAGUACCCCGAGGAAAAGAAAUCAACCGAGAUUCCCCCAGUAGCGGCGAGCGAACGGGGAGGAGCCCAGAGCCUGAAUCAGCAUGUGUGUUAGUGGAAGCGUCUGGAAAGGCGCGCGAUACAGGGUGACAGCCCCGUACACAAAAGCGCAUGUGCUGUGAGCUCGAUGAGUAGGGCGGGACACGUGGUAUCCUGUCUGAAUAUGGGGGGACCAUCCUCCAAGGCUAAAUACUCCUGACUGACCGAUAGUGAACCAGUACCGUGAGGGAAAGGCGAAAAGAACCCCGGCGAGGGGAGUG
rnacentral:rRNA from 1 species